CCUACGGGAGGCAGCAGUGAGGAAUAUUGGACAAUGGACGAAAGUCUGAUCCAGCUAUGCCGCGUGCAGGAUGACGGCCCUAUGGGUUGUAAACUGCUUUUAUACAGGAAGAAAAACUCCGACGUGUCGGAACUUGACGGUACUGUAAGAAUAAGGAUCGGCUAACUCCGUGCCAGCAGCCGCGGUAAUACGGAGGAUCCAAGCGUUAUCCGGAAUCAUUGGGUUUAAAGGGUCCGUAGGCGGUUUUUUAAGUCAGAGGUGAAAUCCUGCAGCUCAACUGUAGAAUUGCCUUUGAUACUGAAAGACUUGAGUUAUUGUGAAGUGGUUAGAAUGUGUGGUGUAGCGGUGAAAUGCAUAGAUAUCACACAGAAUACCAAUUGCGAAGGCAGAUCACUAACAAUAUACUGACGCUCAGGGACGAAAGCGUGGGUAGCGAGCAGGAUUAGAUACCCUGGUAGUCCACGCCGUAAACGAUGGAUACUAGCUGUAUGUCUACUUCAGGUAGAUGUGUGGCUAGGCGAAAGUGAUAAGUAUCCCACCUGGGGGGUACGAUCGCAAGAUUGAAACUCAAAGGAAUUGACGG
rnacentral:rRNA from 1 species